rnacentral:lncRNA from 1 species
CUUAAACUGGAGUCACAGGUGAAAAUGUUGUUCUUAGUUCAUCUAUUUGUCUAGGUAAAUGUAAUUAUUUGUGUCAAUAGUAUCUUGGUCAGUUUCACUUAACACCUGGCAUAUGAAUUGUGCUAGUAUAAAGAUGGUUUUUAUGUCUUCAGCCACCAUUAGAUAUAUUUUGGCAUUUUAUCUUUCAGUUUUUACAUUAAACAACUUAUAACAAAUGUUCAAAUAUAUAUAUUCUAAUAUUCUGCUAUGUGUGGUUUUUCAACACAGACCAGAACUUCAGCUACUUCAGCUCUUCAUUCGUUCAGGAAAAGUAGCUGAAGUUCUGGAUCAGCUGUUCCGGAUUUAUGACCUUCAGGAUCAAAUUGAUGUUGAUGUGAGACGUGCUGCUGUCCUUCAAGCUCUUCCUGCAUAUCUGCAUGAGGACGACUCAACAUUUCUUAAGAUGUGAGAUUUGUCACAGGUUGAACAACCAGACACAGGUGACCAGUUGGACUCCUCUUAAUCAACUCCACCUCCAGCAACAUUCUUCUCUCCAGAUAGGAUUUCAGUUGUGCUUGAGGGUAAUGUAGUUGUUGAUUGCACCACACUGGCUGAUGCUUUUGUAAUGCUUUUGGCACUCAUUUAUGCCCUGCAUCUGAGCUACCUAAAUAAGUUGGCCAACACAUUUAACUUUAUCCAGAAUGUGUUGAUGGGCCUAGAUGAUGGGAAGUUAAGGCCCAAGGUGCUGAGUCUUAAAAAGGACCUUUUAUCAGUGGAGUAAUCUGAUGUGACUUUAUUAUCUUGAAGAUUGUACACAUGCACUACAGUCACUUUUGUAAUGUAGUUAGCAAUUGAAGUAUUUUUUUGUGAUUUGAUCAUUUUUAAAUUAGGUAAAUGUGAAGAAGUU